CACAUUUCGAGGCGGGUAAGACGACAAGAAUAAUUUAGAAAUAGUUUAGAUGGAAGGUCAACUCAGACAAGCCUUGAACAUCAUAAGAGCAAACUAAAAAUUGUGACCUUUGAAGAGCAACAAGCUAAGAUGCUCACCAAAAAACUUUCAUAAAGCUUGAAGUAUUUGACCUAGUAUGGCGGGGCUUAAGUUUGGUUCGAUCUUCACUAUUCUUCUCAUGGCAAUCACUAUUGAUGCGAUGUGGUUUUCCAAGAAUCAAGUUAUGGCUGCAAGAGAUGUCGAUCCUAAUCUAUCAGGACUGAAAAGGAGACUACUUCCGCAACUUAAUGAUAUUUUCACUUGUGGGAGACCUUGUAGUUCUGAUGAUGAUUGCAGUGAUUGUUUCAUUUGCUGUAGCUGUACAUAUGAGCUCUGGGAUCCUACUCUUUACCGAUGUCGCUCAACUACGUACACAUAAAUGUUACAUUUAGUGAUGAAAUAAGAUAGAUCUCUAUUAUGCAUAAGUGGUUCUUUUUAAUUUCAGUAUUUGCUUUGUUUCUCUUAUGUUCUUGCCUUACAUACUUUUUAUGGAUGACAAAGAAAUUCAAGUCAUGAAUGACUUCUUGUUUAUGAAUAAUAAAAUAAUAGCUAUUAUUCAGCUCCAAUAAAAAUGCUGGUUGGGGUAGCUUUAAUUUCA